AUGCCCGACCUUUUUUUUGUGACGGUGACCAUCCCAGCAGUCCCAGAGAAGCCUGUGGACCUGCCCAAGCAGGGGUCAGUGCCUUUGACAAGGUCUUUCCUCAGCAGCCAGGUGACACCAACAGCAAUGGUAUGCUCAUGUACCAUGGACACCAUUCCCAAUGUCUGUGACAACCCCUGCUUGACCAUCUUUGUCCACAAGCUCCUUGACCUCUGGGUACAUGGUGAAGGGUGGCUGCUGCAAGGACUGAGCAGUGGCAGCAGGGCUGGGAGGACUGUCCCCAAUGUCCCUGACAGCCCUGCUUUCCUCAACCAGCCUCCCAAAUUCUCAGAGCACAGGGCAGAGGAGUAGCAGCAGCAACGCUGGGGGAUGCCGAACCCUCCCCAUGUCAAGCAAUUUGCUAAAACUCAUGAGACUGGAUGGCAUCUACAACUCUCCAAUGCCAUCUAUCAAUUAAAUAAUAGAUGGAGUGGACAUGGCUCCCCCAAAAUGAAAGUUUUCUGUGUUAGUGCUACAACUAUAGUGCUACAGAUGCAUAAGAAGCCUGGAGAAUACCCUACAGGCUUCUCUGCAGGGCAAUCUGUGUUAGUCAAGCUACCAUAGAUUGGGAUGGUAGUGAUGGUAUUAAUAACUCUGAAAAAUCUUUAAGCUUGAGAAGUGUAAGAUAGUUCUGGAAAAAUCAAACAAAUUAGUACCAGAUGGAUAACGCCCUCUUUCUAAUCCAAUGUGCACCGAGUAAAUAGAAAAGCGAUUCUUUUUUAUGUUUCUCCAGGAUGCUAGUUGUCCCGGUUGUGGCAGGGAGAGGGCUAAUUCUGCCCAGGAUCUAGCAGGGACACAGGUAUUCCAUCCCAGGGGUAGCUAGGAAAUGGCCAGGAAGGGGGAGGACAGGAAGUCAGAGUUGGUGCGGGGUCGGGGGACAUCCCAGGAUGCGGCUGGUGAGCAGUGGUAUCAUAAUCGGGUUUGUAUAGUUGUCCCGGUUUGAGGUAAAACCAGAUCAAUUUUGUGUUCUGUAACUUUACAUUUUAGCUAGGCCUCUUCUAACUCUCUGAAAUUAACGGCCUAUUGUGGAGAAAACUGCUCGUUCUCAGAGUGAUAAGGCUGAUGUUUGCGCUAAAUGCCAAGGAAUGGUAUGCAGAGAGGCCCUUGCUUAUACAUAUUGCUAUAACAACCAAGGUCAGCCAAUUUUUGUUAUUUGCCCCUUAGAGGGUCGGAAACGGAAAAACGUAAAGGGGUCACAUCUGUGGGGAGGAACAGACAAGACAGGUGACCCCAAACCUGACCAACAGGGGUAUUCCAUCCCAUCUGCCCCAUGCUCAGUAUAAAAGCUGAGGGAUCAAAGGGUCAACUCUCU
rnacentral:lncRNA from 1 species